GUGGCAACAAUGCUGUUUUAAAAAAAAACCAAAAUAUAUAUAUAUAUAUCUUGUAGAUUUUGUAGGUUUUAUUGUUAGUUGUGAAAGGCUUUAACCUGUGCUGGAAAUGUCUUAUUCUGUUACCUUACAUACAGAUUUUGUAAAUGGGGCAUCAGUGAGACACAAAUGACAUCACAAAACAAACAAACAAAAUUACAAAUAUAGUUUGUUCUUUUUCUCUCCCAUGUCCCCUUUCCAAAUUUUUAUUAUUGAUCAUAUUUUUUUGCUUUUACUUCUGCUUAUUUCCUUCACGUUCUUCCCCCUUCUUCUCUCAGAAGAGUUUUAAAUAGUCUAAAAGAAUUUGUUUGGGGGAAAAAGAGGGGUGGAAGUGGGUUAAAAACAAAACAAAACAAAAAAAAGAAAGAAAGUAAAUAUUCCCAAUCAAUAAAAACACAUGCAUGAGAAUAUUUGUAGGUGCUUUCAGCUUCAAAAACCUUCAAACCGUGAAGACCCACAGCAAUCUGUGCAAUGUAGCCGUCUCCACAGCCAACCCCCUCCCUGCUGUUCCGGGAAAAAAGAUGAAACAGACGCAUCAGGCGUCAGACUGUCUCUACAGCACCUUGGAUUGGAUGUGUGAGAGAAAUAUCUCACCUCUCCUGCAAACCUGGAUCAAAUGCAUACCUGCUGAGUCCAACACACACACACACGGUCUGGCUCGUCCAUGAUGUCGCUGUCCUUUCCCGAUGCUUCGCACUGAAAGUGUGAUGAUGGCAGGGUUCCCAUCAUGGAUGAGAAAGACUUUCAGAGAUAUUUCAGAAUAUUUGUGUGUUCCGAAGUGAAAAGUUCAGAUUGUAAUGGUGGGAUUUCAGUCCAGGAGAACCUUCUUGAAGUGUUGAGAUGGUUAUGGAUAAAAAGGUGCAAUCUCAUACCAGAACAUGUCCUUCUGAAGGAACCAUCAUCGUUAUUCUUUUUCAGAAAAGUUCUGAUUUCGCAAGGUUUCGCAAGGUCUCACGCAAUCCUAUGUGAAGCAUGUUUUUUUCUUUACAGAGGAACUUCCAAAAGUGCUCAGAAAUAGCACUUUUAUUUAUUAUCUGCCAACCAAUCGGGUCGCAAGUUAGGGAAGAACUGAGAAAAACAAUCACGGAGGAUAAAGUGCUGGGGAAACAUUUCACUGCCAAUAUUCCGACUUUGUUUAACCGAAAAUAACAUAUUUUGGGAUGUUCACCACUAACUAACCACUAACUGUAGCUGCAUACAGUCAUGUCACACACAGUUCAAAUUCUUAAAAUUUUCUUCCUCGAAAGCUGCAAUCUUUAUUUCAUCUGCAUAACUGAUAAUGGUAAAUCUAAUCUAGAGAGCAAGCUAUGGUGGUUAGCCAUCUGAUAGUAGCUAGGACUGGAAAGAGUGUUGUUAUGGUUACCUUAUCUGGGGAAGAAGUGCAAAAGCAGACAUAAGCAUCUAAAGAACCCUUGUGGUUUCUCAGGAGUAUACAAGAGCAAACAGUAUGUAAGUACAGUGUCAGGUGUUAGAUCAUUCUCACAUUGGAUUUUCAUCACUCGUCACUAAUUUUGAUGGCUAAUUAGCUUCUUUUUUGUUAUUUUUAGAUGUGCAGCAAGCAACAGAAAGAAAUCAGCAAGGAUUAAAAACUCUCAAGUGUCACUACUGAAUAAUGAGAAGCUCCUCCAGUCACGUCUUAUUGUUUUCUAUUGGCCACCAACGCAAACAACCUCCUAAUAAAUCAAAUCAAAAACUCAAACUAGGCUAGUUAGUUAGCCAAUACUAGCUAGGACUGGUUAGAGAGUUGUUAUGAUUUACAGUGUGUGCAUCACAUGAACCAUUUUUUUAAAAGUACAAGUAAACCCUUGAGGAGUUCUCAUUUCUCAGGAAGGUGUCAUGGAUAUCCUGGAAGGGAAUCCGGAAUACAGUUCCCAGCAGCCAUUGCACCACACAGCAUCGCCAUCACAUGACCACCCGCACCUGAUUCUCACUGACUUAAUGAGCACCUGUGUGCAUAUAGCCACAGUUUGCACUGCACUCCUAAUCUUGUGUUAGUCUUUCGUCUCUGUCUUUAUGCUCAUGGUCUUUGGUACUGUUUGAAUCUUGCCUUAGUGUUUUGCUUCCUGUUCAUACUUCUUGUUUUGUUUUGUUUUGGUAGUCAUUAAAACUGAAAAUCUACACUUGCAUCUGUCUCUGCCACCAAACCAUGACAGAAGGGUCGCAGGAAACCAGGAUCCUAUCCCAAGGAAUUUGGGCACCCCUGGACAGUGUGCCAACAAAUCUUGGGGCACACACAUUCACACACUAUAAACAAUUUAGAAGUGUGAAUCAGUCUACAACGCAUGUCUUUGGACUGUGGGAGGAAACCAGAGUACCCAGAGGAAAUCCCCGAACGAAUCACAGGGAGAACAUGCAAAGGUCGGAGUCGAACCCCCAACCCCGGAGGUGAGAGGCAAACAUGCUAACUACUUUUUAUAUGAUGACCGUGUCUUCCACUUUGAAUCUGCCACUCUAUGAAGGAUCGCCCCAAAACAAUCACAGCUUGUUAGCUAUUGGGCACAAAAAAACCAAAUCAAAUUUCACCAAAGUUGAACUUGGAGUGAACCUCAUAUGCAACACUGUAUGAGUAUUGAAAUGUACGUUUCCCUGACAGGAUGACUUCCAAUGAAAUAAAUAUGUUUGCAUGUAAAUUCAUGGAAAAUUGAGAUCUAUAGCAUUGAAAGAUCCAAAUAUUGUUAUUAGUUAGAAAGGAUUUGCCCACUCUACCCUACAGCAGCGGGUCUUAUAAAAGGUGUCUGAAAAGUCAGGAACCAUGUUAGACAAAUGUGUCUAUCUGGAUAUGUUGAGAAAAAAAAUGAGAAAUAGUGGCUGAGAAAAUACGUAGAGAGUCAGGAUGAACAUGUUGAGCAUACAGUAUGUUGUAAAUAAUA
ensembl:lncRNA